UUAAAUGCCCUUCCCUGACAAUGAGAUUGAUGACUACCUCGUAUGCCAUCCUAGAACCUUCAUCCAGUGGCUGAUGGAAGCAGAGGCAGACACCUAAACACUGAACUGAAUUCCCUCCCUCAUUAGACACUGCUGGAGAAACGGGGAGUAAGGAAAGGAAGUACAUUUCCAUGGAAGACAGUUACGAUGUGGGAAGCAGAGAAUUGGGGGUUACAGCCACAGACCCAGGACAAUCAGCUGCAAAUUAAUUUUCCUCUUCUUCUCUCUGGAUUUCUCCAGCUGUUAUUUACAAGCUGUCAAAUGUUAUGGUUGGAGUGAUUUGUACAGGAUAGGUGGCAAGAGCCUAUUUGAUCCGCUGGUUUCUUGGCUGUUUGUAGCAGCUGCUCAGCUCCUGACCAACUUUCUCUGCCUACAGAGAAGAUGGAAAUGACAGUCUUCCCAGCCCAUCAGGCCUGGGUUCUAAUUGAAGUGGCACCCCUUCCAUGAUGUGCUCUGGGUUGAACUAUUACAUAUCUCCAGGCCACAAUUUCCUUGUUCUUAAAAUGCAGAUCAUAGCAGGAUGACAGAUCGUAUAGGUAAACGCACCUGAAGAGUUGUUACGUGGAAACAUCUUAAAGGGCUCUGGGAGAACUUUUCUAGAUGAAAUAUUUCUUAAGUAGGGCUUUAUCCACACUUGAAUUUCUCAGUGAAGGGUUACUUCCAAGAAGAGCAGACAAGGUAAUUCCCAAUAAAUCUCACAGAGGGCAUUCCAGGAAGCCAGGCAAAUGAACAAAAAUAAAAGUUUAAAGCAACAAAGUGGCCAGAUAUGGACUAGGCAAUUGGCAAGCUUUGUGAGGGAACUUCUGCUGAGGUGAGCGUGAACCUGCCAGGGGUCAACCGGGAACUAGCUGUCCCUGCUGAUCUUGCUCAGACAGAGGCUGCUUACCCAGCUGAUGACUUUCUGAUGUCACCAACUGAAAGUGCCCUGUGGAGAGCAUAACCCCCCACCAAGGAACACACGACCAUUCUGGUAAGUCUGCUCCCUUCCAGCAGAUGGGAGGCCUACUGCAGUAGGCUGCCUGUCUCUUUGCUGACUGUUGUCCAAUGAAGCCCUUCCCUUUUACAAAAAUGUAGUCACAGCAUUCAGUGCAUGAUAGGUGAUCCUAGCCUAGCAUCACGGCAAUCAACAAGAUUGUAGAAAAUGCUGCACCAAAAUCUGGAAGAGGCCUGAGUCCAGAGACAGGAACAUGGCACAUGGGGCCACUGGGGGUUUGGCACUGACUGAAAACAGUGGUUGAAACCCGGACCACCAAAGGUGCUGCAGAAUUCUAGGAUUUUGCUAAAAGAGACCCCAGCUUUGGGCUGGCUAUGCGUGCCUCAGAGCUGUGUUUCAGGAGCUGGAGGUCCUGGUAUAGCAUCCCUAAGGUCCAGAAUCCUGGUCCCCACUGAUGAAGAAAACUUCAAGUCUAGAAUUUGGGAACAACUAGUCCCAGACCACUACUUCUCAAGGAGCUCUACAGAAGCAUAAAGAGUUCCCUUCAAGAAAGACGCAGUCCUGGCCCUCAUUUGACUUCAGUUACUCUGAAGAGGUACUGCAUGAGCUCAUCGUCCAAGACCAUCACACACAAAGAGACAGAAGACAGAGAAGAGUCAGGAGCAAGAGUUGUUAAAACCAGAACUACCAUGACCCAGAGAAUGUUUUCUGUCCACCGGCUUCAACCAAAAUUAAUGGCUUCCUGUCACUUCCACUGCUCUAAUUUGUUGCUGGAGACAUAAAUGCCUCCUUGGUGAGGCUCACAUGCUUUUCUGCAAGGAAUCGGUGAUUUGGUUAGCUGGCAAAGAUUGAGGAUCUGGUCUUUCAUCACGAAGAUGAAGAUAUCAUCAUGGCAAGGAGACUGGCCCUCUUUCCAAAGUGCCGGGGUCGGCACCCGUUAAAGGGAGUGUGUGGCGCCCAUGCGCCUUCCACUCAUACCUUCUCUUGCAAGUUCAAGCGAGCACUUGCCCAUUGCAGAGGAGGUAUGGACACAGGACCUCUCCAGAGCAGGUGGAGAGGGACAAGGGCCACAGUGACAAUUGCAGGUGGCUCACAUAUGUUGCAGUAAGCACAGGCGCUGUGGUUAAGGGAAGACCAAGGGUUGACAUGGAUUGUCUGGAACCUCAGAAGAAGAGGGGUAAAAGAGCUUGCUGGUUGGGUAAGAGGUGGCCAAGCUAGAGAAAUGAGAGGAGGGACAGGCUCUGGGAUAGUGAUGGUAGGCUGGCUGUCCCCCCCCCAAUCCUGUCCCCACUGAUGGCACAAUCAUCACCCACAUAUUCUCACUUGUAAUGCAGCUAAUUGCGAUAGACUAAAUCGUGAGGUGGCUUCUCAUAGUAAGGUUCAACCUAGCAGAUCGACCCAGGCCACCCUACAGAUAAAUAUACAGAGUAGACAAGAGACUGUAGCUGCUUCAUAGUGGCUGGGAUAGAGUGACUCUUUGCCAUGGCAAAGCUAAAAGCUGGUCAUGCAAAUGUGGCGACAAAGAGAUCUUAGUAUAAUUAUCAGCACCGGAGAGCCUACAGUAUUGAAGAUCAGUAACGGUGACAAGUGGCUGAGUUAGCGGAUGUUCAAUAUCAGAACGGAGUCAGAGAGGGAUAGAGGGGACUUCCACCACUCCCAACUGUGUGCCUCACAGAACACUGCCUGACCAUUAACCUAGUGUGGUGAGGGGACAUGCGUAGGGCAUGUGGGCCCUCCAUUGACUCAACUCAUGACAACCCAGAGAUUUAGCCAGUCUUAAUAGCUGUUUCCUCAGCUUCCAUCCAAUUUUAUUAUAAAGCAUCUAGACAAAAGGAAUUCAAUGACUUUUCCCUCCCAACUUUUGGGAGUCUCCCCCUUAAUUCUUUACCUCAAUUUUCUACGUUUCUGUAAUUUUUUUUGAGACAGGGUUUCUCUGUGUAGCCUUGGCUAUCCUGGAACUCACUGUGUAGACCAGGCUGGCCUCCAACUCACAGAGAUCCACCUGCCUCUGUCUUCCUAGUGCUGUGAUUAAAGGUGUGCGCCACCACUGCCCGGCACUUUUCUGUAAAUUCUUAAUGAAGUCUUUAAUAAUAUGCUUCUGCUUCACAUGCCCACAUGAGUGUUCACGGCAUUAUUAUGGUUUUUUUCUGGUAUGAGACAAUGAGUACAGAGACAUUUUCACAGGUUAAUCUUUGAUGACUAAGAGAUACCUGGCUUUGAUUCACCCACAGCUGGGCUGUGAAAGGUCCUGCUAAACUCAGAACCACAUUAGUACCAAGAGCCUCGUUUCUCAACAAUGACCCAAAUAAAGAUCACUUAUGCAAGA